rnacentral:tRNA from 1 species
GGGGAAUUAGCUCAGUGGUAGAGCAAGCGGCUGUUAACCGCUAGGUCGAUGGUUCAAAUCCACCAUUCCCCU